UCAAACUGUAUCCAGAGUGACUAUGAUCACAUGCAACAAAGUUAAGUAAUGAUUUGCUGUUCAAGUAUCCAACAUUCAUUCAUAUAAAGGGUGUAAUAAGACAAGCUUGACCUUGCUUUUCUUCUAAAAGCCUCCAGAAGCAGCCCUAAUCGAAGCAGAUUUUCCCGAGGGCCUGGGAAAGGAAGCCGGGACCGCAUCCAGGUAGCGAUAGCUACCCAGCCGCAUUGCGGCUACUCAAGGAGCCGAACAUGCCUUUGUCAUACGGUUCAGCUGGGCCGGCAGAAUGAGCCGCCCCACCCCACAGCUACGGCGGUUAGCUGCAAGUUAACCCUUUGUUAACCCGCAAGUGGAUGUUUUUCCUCAACGCCCAGGACAACUUCUCCUCAGCAUGGUUCACGUAAGAGGUGGCUACCAAAUGUCUUAAUGAGGAGCAGCUGUGCAGGGCCUGAACCUCAGCUUGAAGAGCGAGGAAGUCCGUGAGUGAAGAUCUUUAAAGCGGAGCCUUGGACAGUGAUUGGCUGAAGAGGAAAUUCGGACUUGAUGCUGAUUGGCUGGAGCAGAGACGCAUGGUGGAGUCAUUGGACGGAGCAGAAGAGGUCUUCCAGAUUGAAUUUUUGUCAAAACUCCAUUACCUUGUUCCAUUGAUUCUUCCAUUUUAUUUUGGUGUUUAUCCCCAUUUUGGUCAGUCCUUUUCUGAAGUAUAAUUACGAUGAACCCUGAUCAAACCAAAAUAAAGUCUUGCUGGGAGGUUUUAUUUAUGACCCAUUUCUUUACUGUUGACUAUGAAUGUAAUAUACAAAAUUACUUUAAAUCAUUGGUCGUCAAAGCAUCCUCUUGGCUCGUAUGGACUGAUGCAGGGUUGGUACUAAAUGUCAUGUAACAGACAGCGUCUCCUACAGAACAAAAUCAUACAUAUUGGUACGAAAUGACCAAAGUUAUGAAAUGCCAGAGGUAAGAAAUUAUCAGCAGCUUGAAGAGACAGCCUUGGCAGACAUGUAAACUGACAGGUUUGAGAUGAGAUUGUAAACAUUGGCAAAAAAAAAAAACUGGUGUAAUCUAAAUUCUUUCUGCAUCCAGUUUCCAUGUUCUCCCUGUGCAUGCAUGGAUUCUCUCCGGGUACUCUGGCUUCCAGAGCAAAGCUCCAAAGCACAUCCUUUCAUGCCAAAGACAAUACUGAUUACCAUUAAGUAAGCUCUGUUUCAAAAGGCCUUGUAAGCUGUGUUUCACUCUGGUGGAAAGCUUUUGUGCUCUCAUGAGAGCUCAAAGGUUUUUCCUCGUAUGUGCCAGGUCCCAACUCUCCUCCGAUCUCCUAGACGAGCUCUGUCAGGAUAUAUUUAUUGCUUGACUCUGAUGAAAAUGCUUGUGUCUUUUGAUUGUAAUGGUGAUAUUGGAAUCAAUGACUUAUUGUUCAAUGUACAAAGAUGUUUAUAUGUUCUGCAUUUUGAAUGCAUUGGCUUUUCAUCUGUCAGUAACUUGCUGAUGUUUGUUGACUGCAUUGUUUCUUUCUUUUGUAUCGAGCCUCUGAACUUGGUUUUUCAGCGUGGAAGUGUUUGCUCUUAUUGCUAGGAGCUGUUUGUGUGUGUGAUGGUGUACCACUUAAAUUCAAAUCCAGAUAAGUAAAGAUGUUGACAGGUUGAUGAGUCCUGUUGAAAGCUUGUAAACCAGUAGGGUUUGCACAUUGUUGCUCUCAUCGACCAGGCUAACAAAUAUUAGUAAAACAGUGUGAUGUUGUUUUUCUUUGCAGAAAGCACUAGAAACAUUAGCGUUUAACUUUAGACACUUUUUACAAUCUUAUUAACAGUUGUUCAGAGGAAAAAGGAAAAAUACCUCAUUAAAAACAUCCAUACCUACUUUGCUACUUAGUUUGUGCUGCUAGCUUACUGAGGAGAGAAUUAAAUGUACAUUUAAUUAAAGAACAAUGGCAGUAAUAGUUAAAAUGAUCAAUUUAAGGGUUGUUCUGGUAGAAGAGUCUUUUAGACUGAAAGAUUGUAAAGUAAAAUAUGAUUACAGGUAACAUGAAACAAAUGUUUUAUAUUCACCAAACCUGUUGUUUUCACUUUGAACUAUGAAUAGUAUGUUACCACACUUAACAUCAUGCAUUAUUUUAUGCUGCUAUGUCUUAUAUCUUAAUUAAGAAAAUGUUUAUGGUAAUAAAAUGCAUUUCUUUAUUUAA